GUGCUCCUACGGGAGGCAGCAGUGAGGAAUAUUGGUCAAUGGGAGAGAUCCUGAACCAGCCACGCCGCGUGAGGGAAGACGGCCCUAUGGGUUGUAAACCUCUUUUGUCGGAGAACAAAACCCGGGACGUGUCCCGGACUGCGUGUAUCCGAAGAAAAAGCAUCGGCUAACUCCGUGCCAGCAGCCGCGGUAAUACGGAGGAUGCGAGCGUUAUCCGGAUUUAUUGGGUUUAAAGGGUGCGCAGGCGGACCAUCAAGUCAGCGGUAAAAUUGCGGGGCUCAACCCCGUCGAGCCGUUGAAACUGG
rnacentral:rRNA from 1 species